rnacentral:rRNA from 1 species
GAAUUCAACUCCUACGGGAGGCAGCAGUGGGGAAUAUUGGACAAUGGGCGAAAGCCUGAUCCAGCAAUGCCGCGUGAGUGAUGAAGGCCCUAGGGUUGUAAAGCUCUUUUACCAGGGAUGAUAAUGACAGUACCUGGAGAAUAAGCUCCGGCUAACUCCGUGCCAGCAGCCGCGGUAAUACGGAGGGAGCUAGCGUUGUUCGGAAUUACUGGGCGUAAAGCGCGCGUAGGCGGCUUUUUAAGUCAGAGGUGAAAGCCCGGGGCUCAACCCCGGAAUUGCCUUUGAAACUGGAAAGCUAGAAUCUUGGAGAGGUCAGUGGAAUUCCGAGUGUAGAGGUGAAAUUCGUAGAUAUUCGGAAGAACACCAGUGGCGAAGGCGACUGACUGGACAAGUAUUGACGCUGAGGUGCGAAAGCGUGGGGAGCAAACAGGAUUAGAAACCCUAGUAGUCCAGGCGUU